UACGUAGGGGGGCUAGCGUUGUCCGAAGUUACUGGGCGUAAAGCGCGCGUAGGCGGGUUGGUAAGUCCGCUGUGAAAGCCCGGAGCUUAACUCCGGAGGGUCGGUGGAUACUGCCAGUCUUGAAGGUGCUAGGGGGAGAUGGAAUUACCGGUGUAGCGGUGAAAUGCGUAGAUAUCGGGAGGAACACCUGUGGCGAAAGCGGCUCUCUGGGCACCACAACUGACGCUGAGGCGCGAAAGCGUGGGUAGCGAACAGG
rnacentral:rRNA from 1 species